UCAUUUUUAGUUGGGGUAAAUAUUUCCAUUAUAAAGUACAAAGCUUUUUAAAAUAGUUCAGGUAUAUUUCAUUUGAUUAAAGGGCCCAUCGAGAAAAGUUGAUUCUUUCAGAGAUGUAGACAGAGGAGGAGGGCUCGGCCGUCCGUCCGGGAGAAACUCCGCGCUCGGGUCUCGGACGAGGCGCCAGCGAGGCUUCACGCGCCUCUCAGGAUCCCGCCCGCCGCAGGCGCCCC